GAGGGUGUAGCUCAGUGGUAGCGUGUGUGCCUAGCAUGCAUGACGUCCUGGGUUCAAUCCCCAGUACCUCCA
rnacentral:tRNA from 1 species